rnacentral:rRNA from 1 species
UACGAAGGGGGCUAGCGUUGCUCGGAAUCACUGGGCGUAAAGCGCACGUAGGCGGGUCUCUAAGUCAGGGGUGAAAUCCUGGAGCUCAACUCCAGAACUGCCUUUGAUACUGGGGAUCUCGAGUCCGGGAGAGGUGAGUGGAACUCCGAGUGUAGAGGUGAAAUUCGUAGAUAUUCGCAAGAACACCAGUGGCGAAGGCGGCUCACUGGCCCGGUACUGACGCUGAGGUGCGAAAGCGUGGGGAGCAAACAGG